AAUCAGGGUGUUAGGAUUCGGGUCAGUGUGAGUGGUCUUUUCUAUAGAGGAUCUCGGAGGAGAGCUCUUGACAGGCUGAUGCACCGGCAGCUGAUUCCAGAUGAUUGACUGGCAGAUCUUUAAGAAGCGGAGGAACAGUCACUCAUCGCUCGAUGGUCCCAUUUCGUUGGAAACGGCGAGCCGCCGGGAACAAGCCAAGAACCACGCCUGGACAUUAAGAUCCCUCCUGCCGAAGCCAAACAUCUCCCGGAUCCUAGCCCUCCCCUUCAAGCUACGGCCACACGAAAGACAAACCCAAGCAGAACCCCCUACCAUCCUGUGGGACUUAAUUUGUACGAACCAUCUACAAUUAAAAAAACCUUUUCACUAAA